UUUCCCAGGUGUUUGUCUCCACCAGCUUCUGGACAUCAGGGUUGGCAACUGAGCGGCUAUUCAUCUCUCCCUGCCUGUUUGUAGGGCUGCCCCAGAAUGAGGCCACUGGGGCAUUGCAGGACAGGUGUCCUUGGUGGGACUCAAAGUGUGAUGAAGUGGGGAAGAACAAGACCUUGGUCAUCUUCCACCAGGGGAGAAAGGAAAUGCAACAGCUUGCAGGGCCGAGGCCUGAGUUGGGAGAUGCCAAACAGGAGUUACCUGGGGCUGAACUCAUGGCAACCGUGCCCAGUGGGAUUCUGGUCAAGUCAGAUCGGUCUUCUGGAAGUUCUGCUGACAGGGUGGAGGCCAGAGUGAGAGGGUGCUUGGUCAGAGUAGCCAGGGAAACAGUGGAGACAU